rnacentral:rRNA from 1 species
GAUGAACGCUGGCGGCGUGCCUAAUACAUGCAAGUCGAGCGAACAGACGAGGAGCUUGCUCCUCUGACGUUAGCGGCGGACGGGUGAGUAACACGUGGAUAACCUACCUAUAAGACUGGGAUAACUUCGGGAAACCGGCGCUAAUACCGGAUAAUAUAUUGAACCGCAUGGUUCAAUGGUGAAAGACGGUUUUGCUGUCACUUCUAGAUGGAUCCGCGCCGCAUUAGCUAGUUGGUAAGGUAACGGCUUACCAAGGCAACGAUGCGUAGCCGACCUGAGAGGGUGAUCGGCCACACUGGAACUGAGACACGGGCAAGACUCCUACGGGAGGCAGCAGUAGGGAAUCUGCCGCAAUGGGCGAAAGCCUGACGGAGCAACGCCGCGUGAGUGAUGAAGGUCUUCGGAUCGUAAAACUCUGUUAUUAGGGAAGAACAAAUGUGUAAGUAACUAUGCACGUCUUGACGGUACCUAAUCAGAAAGCCACGGCUAACUACGUG